rnacentral:rRNA from 1 species
UACGUAGGGGGCAAGCGUUGUCCGGAAUCAUUGGGCGUAAAGAGCGUGUAGGCGGUCCGGUAAGUCGGCUGUGAAAGUCCAGGGCUCAACCCUGGGAUGCCGGUCGAUACUGCCGGACUAGAGUUCGGAAGAGGCGAGUGGAAUUCCCGGUGUAGCGGUGAAAUGCGCAGAUAUCGGGAGGAACACCUAUGGCGAAGGCAGCUCGCUGGGACGUUACUGACGCUGAGACGCGAAAGCAUGGGGAGCGAACAGG